UUUCCACCUUCUAACAAAUACUUUUUGCUGUGUUUUGGAUGAUAUUUAUUAAUAAUCCCUGUAUUUCCUAAAUUUUGUAAUACAUGUUUGCAUCUUUAUCCUGCAGCGCAUGUUGAAGAAGGGUUAUGACAGGACCCGGAAGCAGGCAGAGAAGAGGGCAAUCGUCGUGGGGGUCGUCAACGUGUUAAAAAAAAAAUUUGGACGGACCCACGACGACAUGCAGAUAGUUAAGAGGUGGUCCGAUUUGAAAAGGAGGCACCCGGACUGGGUCAAAGAGCUCAGUGAGAGAGUCUGCCCAGGGCUCCUAAAUCCAAAGGUCCGCCGCCGUCUAACCACGGCGGAUUUCGAUCUGGUGGAGGUCUCCGCUGGGGAGGAGGA